AGUGAACGCUGGCGGUAGGCCUAACACAUGCAAGUCGAACGGCAGCACAGUAAGAGCUUGCUCUUACGGGUGGCGAGUGGCGGACGGGUGAGGAAUACAUCGGAAUCUACUUUUUCGUGGGGGAUAACGUAGGGAAACUUACGCUAAUACCGCAUACGACCUACGGGUGAAAGCAGGGGAUCUUCGGACCUUGCGCGAUUGAAUGAGACGAUGUCGGAUUAGCUAGUUGGCGGGGUAAAGGCCCACCAAGGCGACGAUCCGUAGCUGGUCUGAGAGGAUGAUCAGCCACACUGGAACUGAGACACGGUCCAGACUCCUACGGGAGGCAGCAGUGGGGAAUAUUGGACAAUGGGCGCAAGCCUGAUCCAGCCAUACCGCGUGGGUGAAGAAGGCCUUCGGGUUGUAAAGCCCUUUUGUUGGGAAAGAAAAGCAGCAGGUUAAUACCCCGCUGUUCUGACGGUACCCAAAGAAUAAGCACCGGCUAACUUCGU
rnacentral:rRNA from 1 species